rnacentral:rRNA from 1 species
GAUGAACGCUGGCGGCGUGCCUAAUACAUGCAAGUCGAGCGAACAGACGAGGAGCUUGCUCCUCUGACGUUAGCGGCGGACGGGUGAGUAACACGUGGAUAACCUACCUAUAAGACUGGGAUAACUUCGGGAAACCGGAGCUAAUACCGGAUAAUAUAUUGAACCGCAUGGUUCAAUAGUGAAAGACGGUUUUGCUGUCACUUAUAGAUGGAUCCGCGCCGCAUUAGCUAGUUGGUAAGGUAACGGCUUACCAAGGCAACGAUGCGUAGCCGACCUGAGAGGGUGAUCGGCCACACUGGAACUGAGACACGGUCCAGAAUCCUACGGGAGGCAGCAGUAGGGAAUCUUCCGCAAUGGGCGAAAGCCUGACGGAGCAACGCCGCGUGAGUGAUGAAGGUCUUCGGAUCGUAAAACUCUGUUAUUAGGGAAGAACAAAUGUGUAAGUAACUGUGCACGUCUUGACGGUACCUAAUCAGAAAGCCACGGCUAACUACGUG